CCUACGUGCGGCAGCAGUGAGGAAUAUUGGUCAAUGGGCGCGAGCCUGAACCAGCCAAGUAGCGUGAAGGAUGACUGCCCUACGGGUUGUAAACUUCUUUUAUAAAGGAAUAAAGUGAGGCACGUGUGCCUUUUUGUAUGUACUUUAUGAAUAAGGAUCGGCUAACUCCGUGCCAGCAGCCGCGGUAAUACGGAGGAUCCGAGCGUUAUCCGGAUUUAUUGGGUUUAACGGGAGCGUAGAUGGGUUGUUAAGUCAGUUGUGAAAGUUUGCGGCUCAACCGUAAAAUUGCAAUUGAUACUGGCAGUCUUGAGUGCAGUUGAGGUAGGCGGAAUUCGUGGUGUAGCGGUGAAAUGCUUAGAUAUCACGAAGAACUCCGAUUGCGAAGGCAGCUUACUAAACUGCCACUGACAUUGAUGCUCGAAAGUGUGGGUAUCAAACAGGAUUAGAUACCCUUGUAGUC
rnacentral:rRNA from 1 species